rnacentral:sRNA from 1 species
UCGUAACAAGGUCUCCGUUGGUGAACCAGCGGAGGGAUCAUUACCGAGUUAUACAACUCAUCAACCCUGUGAACAUACCUAAAACGUUGCUUCGGCGGGAACAGACGGCCCUGUAACAACGGGCCGCCCCCGCCAGAGGACCCCUAACUCUGUUUUUAUAAUGUUUUUCUGAGUAAACAAGCAAAUAAAUUAAAACUUUCAACAACGGAUCUCUUGGCUCUGGCAUCGAUGAAGAACGCAGCGAAAUGCGAUAAGUAAUGUGAAUUGCAGAAUUCAGUGAAUCAUCGAAUCUUUGAACGCACAUUGCGCCCGCCAGUAUUCUGGCGGGCAUGCCUGUUCGAGCGUCAUUACAACCCUCAGGCCCCCGGGCCUGGCGUUGGGGAUCGGCAGAAGCCCCCUGUGGGCACACGCCGUCCCUCAAAUACAGUGGCGGUCCCGCCGCAGCUUCCAUUGCGUAGUAGCUAACACCUCGCAACUGGAGAGCGGCGCGGCCAUGCCGUAAAACACCCAACUUCUGAAUGUUGACCUCGAAUCAGGUAGGAAUACCCGCUGAACUUAAGCAUAUCAAUAAGCGGAGGAAAAGAAACCAACAGGGAUUGCCCCAGUAACGGCGAGUGAAGCGGCAACAGCUCAAAUUUGAAAUCUGGCUCUCGGGCCCGAGUUGUAAUUUGUAGAGGAUGCUUUUGGUGAGGUGCCUUCCGAGUUCCCUGGAACGGGACGCCAUAGAGGGUGAGAGCCCCGUCUGGUUGGA